AGUGAACGCUGGCGGUAGGCCUAACACAUGCAAGUCGAACGGCAGCACAGUAAGAGCUUGCUCUUACGGGUGGCGAGUGGCGGACGGGUGAGGAAUACAGCGGAAUCUACUUUUUCGUGGGGGAUAACGUAGGGAAACUUACGCUAAUACCGCAUACGACCUACGGGUGAAAGCAGGGGAUCUUCGGACCUUGCGCGAUUGAAUGAGCCGAUGUCGGAUUAGCUAGUUGGCGGGGUAAAGGCCCACCAAGGCGACGAUCCGUAGCUGGUCUGAGAGGAUGAUCAGCCACACUGGAACUGAGACACGGUCCAGACUCCUAUGGGAGGCAGCAGUGGGGAAUAUUGGACAAUGGGCGCAAGCCUGAUCCAGCAAUACCGCGUGGGUGAAGAAGGCCUUCGGGUUGUAAAGCCCUUUUGUUGGGAAAGAAAAGCAGCAGGUUAAUACCCCGCUGUUCUGACGGUACCCAAAGAAUAAGCACCGGCUAACUUCGUG
rnacentral:rRNA from 1 species